GGGACCUGUAGGCAGGUGGAGAGGGGAUGGGGGAGGUCUCAGGUCCUCUUGCUCACCCAUCAGCUGUGUAGUGUCUGAAGUGAUUAAGGAGCUUGGGGAGAGCCCUGAAUGGGAAGAAAUGGGUUCCAUGUGCAGCAAGCCAGGAGAGAUUUAGGCAACGAGAACCUCCAGUUCUGUCUUAGGGUUCCCAGCUUUCUCCUUGUCCUGAGGGAGCCGCUGAGCCUGUGGGAGAUGAGGGGUGCCCAUUCCCCAGUGCUUCUCACCCUCCCCCACCUGCCCUCCUGGGGUACCUUUGUCUGCCACUUGCAUCCUAUUGGAAGCUGUCCCCAAGUGCGUGUUAGGCAGGUGGCAGGUGCUGGAGCAGAGUGCACCACCCUCCGGCGAUCACUGUGAGUUGGGGUAAGAGUGGGGUGUUCCUGCCAGCCCCAGGAGAGGGGAAAGCAAGCCCCCGUCCACCCUUGUGGGUCUCUGCUCCUGGAAAAGGUGCUCUAGCAGGCUCAUCUGUGUGAGUCACUGUCUUCCAUGUGGGACAGGGUUUCAUUCUGUCACCAAGGCUGGAGUGCAGUGGCGUGAUCUUGGUUCACUGCAACCUCUCCCUCCCGGACUCAAGCCAUCCCCCUGCCUCUGUCUCCUGAGUAGCUGGAAUUAUAGAUGUACACCACCACACCUGACUAGUUUUUUAAUUUUUUGUGAAGACGGAGUUUUGCAGUGUUGCCUGGGCUGGUCUCAACUCCUGGGCUCAAGAAAUCCACCUGCCUCUGCCUCCCAAAGUGCUGGGAUUACAGAUAAUGCUGGAAGCCAAGCUUGCACAUUCUAGGCAGCCAUUUGGAAGAUUCUUCUCUGCGCAUGACCAGCUGAAAAGGAAAAACCCCGAAACAUUGGCACUGUGAUUUCUCCAUGUGAACAGUUUAGUUCGCCGAGGUGGACAUGCCUCAUUCAUGCUUAUGGAGUGACCGACCAGCCUUUAGUGACACCCCCUGAAAUGUGAGUCAUCCAUGGGUCACUAGUCAUUGGAGAAGAGCCCCUUAUACAAAACUUGGAGCUCAGACCACAAACAACAACAACAAUCCAAAAAAUAAAAAAAUGAAAAAUUAGGAGCAGAGACUAAAUGGAAAGAUGGAAAUAUUAAAAUAAAAAUAUUAUUU
rnacentral:lncRNA from 1 species